rnacentral:rRNA from 1 species
CACGUAGGGGGCGAGCGUUGUCCGGAUUCAUUGGGCGUAAAGGGCGCGCAGGCGGCUCGGAAAGUCGGGUGUGAAAACUCGAGGCUCAACCCCGGGCGUGCAUCCGAUACUGCCGGGCUUGAGGCAGGUAGGGGAGAUCGGAAUUCCUGGUGUAGCGGUGAAAUGCGCAGAUAUCAGGAGGAACACCGGUGGCGAAGGCGGAUCUCUGGGCCUGUCCUGACGCUGAGGCGCGAAAGCUAGGGGAGCGAACAGG